AGUGAACGCUGGCGGUAGGCCUAACACAUGCAAGUCGAACGGCAGCACAGUAAGGGCUUGCUCUUACGGGUGGCGAGUGGCGGACGGGUGAGGAAUACAUCGGAAUCUACUUUUUCGUGGGGGAUAACGUAGGGAAACUUACGCUAAUACCGCAUACGACCUACGGGUGAAAGCAGGGGAUCUUCGGACCUUGCGCGAUUGAAUGAGCCGAUGUCGGAUUAGCUAGUUGGCGGGGUAAAGGCCCACCAAGGCGACGAUCCGUAGCUGGUCUGAGAGGAUGAUCAGCCACACUGGAACUGAGACACGGACCAGACUCCUACGGGAGGCAGCAGUGGGGAAUAUUGGACAAUGGGCGCAAGCCUGAUCCAGCCAUACCGCGUGGGUGAAGAAGGCCUUCGGGUUGUAAAGCCCUUUUGUUGGGAAAGAAAAGCAGCAGGUUAAUACCCCGCUGUUCUGACGGUACCCAAAGAAUAAGCACCGGCUAACUUCGUG
rnacentral:rRNA from 1 species